rfam:Ixodes scapularis strain Wikel colony gcontig_1107728742070, whole genome shotgun sequence.
GUGGUAGAGCGCUCCACCUGUAAUGGAGAGGUCCCGGGUUCAAUACCCGGACCAGGCG